GGAUCACUAAGUACACUAUCAGAC
rnacentral:siRNA from 1 species